rnacentral:lncRNA from 1 species
GAACAAACAUUGGGCUGUCUGACUGGAGUCCCACCCGACACAAGACAACGACACUGGUGGACUUUCUGGGUCUGCGUGCUCUGCCUGUAUUGUCCACCACUCCUCCGUCCUCUGGGGGAUUAGAAUGGGCGGUACAGAGCACAACGACAGACCUCACUCAUGAGGUAGCCAGAUUGUAUUCAAAGCCCGUCUAUGGCACGUGCAAAGAAACAGGUGGAGAACCCACGCCAGCCCUGUCUGCCUGGGAUACCGUCCCUCUCAGCGACUAACCAGGAACUCAGCCCACCUGCCUGCCCCUUUCCGACACCACUUUGCUGGGCUCAGCUUCAUGACCCUGAACUGAGCAACAAAGUUGAGAAACCAUUGCGACUGAACCAUUGGGAAUUGGGCUGCCGACGGAGGACCAAAGCCUCAACCUGGAGUUUCUAGGAGUGAAAGAAGACAGCAGUAUAGGGUAUGAGGUGUAAGACCCAGAAGCAAGCUGUCACAAUCACCAUCC